UCUGCGCAGUCUGUCCGGUGCCGUCAUGUCCGCGCUGACGCCGCUGCUGCUGAGAGGCCUGACCGGCCCGGCCCGGCGGCUCCCGGUGCAGCGCGCCCAGGUCCACUCCAAGCCGCCGCAGGAGCAGCUCGGGACCAUGAAGCGGGAGUGAAGGAAGCCGGCCUCUCCCUCCCCCUCUGACCUGACCGCCCCCGGCCUGUCCUCAUCCUGUCUGCUGCAUUCCUGGCCGGCCUCCCCUGGAUCAUGUCCUUCGGUUACAGUGACCACGUCUGCAAUCAUGACACGGAGACAUCCUGGGACCACAGAGACAUCCUGGGACCACAUGUAUCGGCUUAUAAGGCCCUGCUCGGUAGGGUCCCCCUUGUAACAAUAAAGUCUAUUUAAACCUUG